AGUCAAUAGAUACCCGGGUAGUCCAUGCCGUAAACGAUGAUUGCUAGGUGUGGGGGGUCUGACCCUUCCGUGCCGGAGUUAAACACAAAUAAGCAAUCCACCUGGGGAGUACGGCCGCAAGGUUGAAACUCAAAGGAAUUGACGGGGGCCCGCACAAGCAGUGGAGUAUGUGGUUUAAUUCGAAGCAACGCGAAGAACCUUACCAGGUCUUGACAUCCACCGAAUCCUGUAGAGAUACGGGAGUGCCCUUCGGGGAACGGUGAGACAGGUGGUGCAUGGUUGUCGUCAGCUCGUGUCGUGAGAUGUUGGGUUAAGUCCCGCAACGAGCGCAACCCUUGUGAAUAGUUGCUACGAAAGAGCACUCUAUUCAGACCGCCGUUGACAAAACGGAGGAAGGUGGGGAUGACGCCAAAUCAUCAUGCCCCUUAUGACCUGGGCUACACACGUACUACAAUGGCCGUUAACAGAGGGAUGCAAUGCCGCGAGGUGGAGCGAACCCCUAAAAACGGUCUCAGUUCAGAUUGCAGGCUGAAACUCG
rnacentral:rRNA from 1 species